rnacentral:rRNA from 1 species
UACAUGCAAGUCGGGACGGGAUCAAUCAGUAGCCUGCUACCGAUGGUGAGAGUGGCGCACGGGUGCGUAACGCGUGAGCAACCUGCCCAUAUCAGGGGGAUAGCCCGGAGAAAUCCGGAUUAACACCGCAUGACACNGGAUNAUGGCAUCAUNAGGNAGUUAAAUAUUCAUAGGAUAUGGAUGGGCUCGCGUGACAUUAGCUAGUUGGUGGGGUAACGGCCCACCAAGGCGACGAUGUCUAGGGGCUCUGAGAGGAGAAUCCCCCACACUGGUACUGAGACACGGACCAGACUCCUACGGGAGGCAGCAGUAAGGAAUAUUGGUCAAUGGGGGCAACCCUGAACCAGCCAUGCCGCGUGCAGGACGACUGCCCUAUGGGUUGUAAACUGC